GGGGAUUAGUGGCGAACGGGUGAGUAACACGUGGGCAAUCUGCCCUGCACUCUGGGACAAGCCCUGGAAACGGGGUCUAAUACCGGAUACUGACCCGCUUGGGCAUCCAAGCGGAUCGAAAGCUCCGGCGGUGCAGGAUGAGCCCGCGGCCUAUCAGCUAGUUGGUGAGGUAAUGGCUCACCAAGGCGACGACGGGUAGCCGGCCUGAGAGGGCGACCGGCCACACUGGGACUGAGACACGGCCCAGACUCCUACGGGAGGCAGCAGUGGGGAAUAUUGCACAAUGGGCGAAAGCCUGAUGCAGCGACGCCGCGUGAGGGAUGACGGCCUUCGGGUUGUAAACCUCUUUCAGCAGGGAAGAAGCGAAAGUGACGGUACCUGCAGAAGAAGCGCCGGCUAACUACGUGCCAGCAGCCGCGGUAAUACGUAGGGCGCGAGCGUUGUCCGGAAUUAUUGGGCGUAAAGAGCUCGUAGGCGGCUUGUCACGUCGGUUGUGAAAGCCCGGGGCUUAACCCCGGGUCUGCAGUCGAUACGGGCAGGCUAGAGUUCGGUAGGGGAGAUCGGAAUUCCUGGUGUAGCGGUG
rnacentral:rRNA from 1 species